rnacentral:rRNA from 1 species
AAUGACUCUCGACAACGGAUAUCUCGGCUCUCGCAUCGAUGAAGAACGUAGCGAAAUGCGAUACUUGGUGUGAAUUGCAGAAUCCCGUGAACCAUCGAGUCUUUGAACGCAAGUUGCGCCCGAAGCCAUUAGGCUAAGGGCACGUCUGCUUGGGUGUCACGC